UCAAUUCUCCUUGAAUCAUGCUUUGUUUUGGUUCUCAUUAUUGCAAAUGCGCUUAAUUGAAAUAUUUGACAUUUGUUGCAAUAUGGAUUGCUGAAAAUGACCUUGUGUAUCACUGUUAAUAAAAUAACAUUUGAUGCAUUUGUUAUGCUCUCCGUCAAAUGGAUUUUUCAUUGCUUUUGUAACCAUCGGUAUUUCCUGUAAAAUGUCGAAUUGAUGUGUUUUGCUUAAA
rnacentral:lncRNA from 1 species